rnacentral:piRNA from 1 species
UAGAGAGGACCACAUGUAACUGUCAUGG